AGGCCAUGCUGCUGCCUUAAAAGCUGAAAUUCCCCACUCACUCUGGCUUCUGUCCCGAAGCUUCUCUGAGCCCUGAAGUAUGAUACAACACAUCCUAGAAGCAAAGAAAUCCUAUUGUCAACCAACUGGGUAAAAGGACCUUCGGCAAAACAGCAUGACGUAAUGGAAAGAGCCCAGGACUGGAAGCCAGGAG